CUCGUCGUCGUUAUAUUCCAUUCUAAUCGCUACAGCAACGUCCGAUUUCAACUAGCUGUUAGAUAUUAGUCUCAGAAGCUAAUAGUGUUUUAGAGAUGUUUUCUAAUUUGUCAAGUUCUUUACUCAUAAAUUGUUACAUUAUUGUCGGCAGUUUUUAUUCUAGAUCUAGAUUUAAGUCUGUCGCUUAUUUCAAUACAUGAGACUGAGACCUUAUACUACAGUUUAUACUGAAAAUGUGAGCGUAUCAGUAUCAAACUAUCUAUAAUUAUAAUAGACUAGAUCUACUAAAGAUCUUAACAUGAAUUUGGUAUGGCAAGUUAGUCUAUAUAGUAGGCUAUAUGCAAAAUAUGCAUCAGGCUUAGGUCAAUCAGUAGACCUGAAAUAUAUGGUAGUCCGCUGGAGAAAGAAAAUCCAGAUUAUAUGGUAGAUCUAGCAGAAUCUAGCUACAUCUACGUUUCGCUAUAGUUUAAGUUUAAGAUAUAGUCUUUAACUAUAAUUUAGAGCCUAGGCCUAGGUAGAUUCUAGAAGUAGAUCUAGAUAGUGAAUUGAAAGAAUAGAUCUAGAUCUAGUAUUAGUAAUUAGAAUGACAUAGCCCAGACUCAGAAGACGCGCAGUUUGGCGAAAAGAAAUUAGGUAUGUUCUUGAUCUGCUAGACCUAUCUCAAAGUGCUUAUAAUAAGCAAAAGCCAGUUAUGACUUGCCACAACCAGUACACCAGCACCUUGCUAACCAUAUUGAUAGUCAGGAAUGGGUUCACUUUUUAUGAUAAGGUUAUAUCACGAUGUUAAUGAGAUACCGCGUCAACAUACUCUGCGCUACUUAGUGUGGCUGCUUGCCACGCAUAGCAAGUGCUUUGAAUAGAUGCACUUGACAGUCGCCUAUUAUAACGAGUUGAUCCAGUUAGAAGUUUGCAGUGGUUAGGACAGUUCUACGUUAGCGUUGUAUCCACAAAAUAUAGUAUGCACACACAUCAUAUCUCCAGGGAAGGCUAAAGAAGAGAGCAGUUGUUUGUUUGGAAUAUGAACUGUAUACAUGGACAUGUGAUAAGUGAUGUAUUACAUUAAAUGAAAGACCUCUAGUUUUGUACAAUUAUAAUCCUAUUUUAAUCUGUUAAAAUCUAUCUUGUGAUUGUUUCUGACAUCUUUUACUCCACUUUGGCUUGCAUGUCCUAUUGAAGACUAGUUGUCUUUUUAUUUUGAUAAAAGUGAAUUAAAUAAGGAAUUAUUCUA